rnacentral:rRNA from 1 species
UCCAAUCUUCCCAGAGCGGAGCGCAUUUGUUCGCCACAAAACCAAGCGCCUUCGGGCGUCCAGUGUUGACUCAGAACAACUAAGCUGAUCGCACGGUCUGUACCGGCGACGUGUCUUUCAAGUGUCUGCCUUAUCAACUUUCGAUGGUAGUGUACCUGACUACCAUGGUUAUGACGGGUAACGGAGGAUAAGGGUUCGACUCCGGAGAAGGGGCCUGAGAAAUGGCCACUACGUCUAAGGAUGGCAGCAGGCGCGCAAAUUACCCACUCUCAACAUGAGGAGGUAGUGACGAGAAAUAACGAGACCGAUCUCUUAUGAGGCCGGUCAUCGGAAUGGGUACAAUUUAAACCCUUUAACGAGUAUCUAUGAGAGGGCAGUCUGGUGCCAGCAGCCGCGGUAAUUCCAGCUCUCAAAAUGCAUAGAAUUAUUGCUGCGGUUAAAAAGCUCGUAGUUGGAUCUGUGCUAGCCGGCCGGUCCACCCACUGGGUGUGCCCUGGUUCGGUUGGCUUUUCUGCCGGUCUCUCCCCGGCGUUGGCCUUCAUCGGCGUCGUUGGGCUGGCGAGUUUACUUUGAGCAAAUCAGAGAGUGCUUCAAACAGGCGUUUCGCUUGAAUGUUCGUGCAUGGAAUAAUAGAAGAGGAUUUCGGUCCGAUUUUAUUGGUUUUGCUGACCGAGAUAAUGGUUAACAGAGACAAACGGGGCCAUUCGUAUU